rnacentral:ncRNA from 1 species
GGACCUGAUAUCAGGCAAGAUUACCCGCUGAACUUAAGCAUAUUAAUAAGCGGAGGAAAAGAAACUAACAAGGAUUCCCCUAGUAACGGCGAGUGAAGCGGGAAGAGCUCAAGCUUAAAAUCUCCGUGCAAGUUUUGUGCGGCGAAUUGUAGUCUAUAGAAGCGUGGUCAGCAUGGGCACUUGGGGCAAGUUCCUUGGAAGAGGACAGCAUGGAGGGUGAUACUCCCGUUCAUUUCUGAGUUGCUCGUGCGUACGACCCGUUUUCUUUGAGUCGCGUUGUUUGGGAAUGCAGCGCAAAGUAGGUGGUAAAUUCCAUCUAAAGCUAAAUAUUGGUGCGAGACCGAUAGCGAACAAGUACCGUGAGGGAAAGAUGAAAAGAACUUUGAAAAGAGAGUUAAAGAGUACCUGAAACUGCUGAAAGGGAACCGAAUCGUUUCCAGUGUCUAUAAUCCGUGGUAUAUUUCAUUGGCGAGUGUGUGCGUGCGUGUGCUGUGGCAGCGGCUUUUUUGGCUGCGCUCGGCGUGUGUGCUGUGUGUGCUUGCUGGUGCUCUGUGCUGCGGUGGGACGUCAAGGUCAGUUCGUAUGCUGCGGGAAAUGGCUGCCGAGGAGGUAGGGCUUACGCUUGCGUUUGUCUGUUAUAUCUUGGUGGACGAGUAGUCGCGGUUGGGACUGAGGUGCCUACAACGUGCUUUUGAGUGGGUUUGUGUCUCCGUGUGCGCCGUGUGCGGAUAGCUUGCUAUGCGUGUGUGGUUGUGUGUGGAUUGAUGCGAGCUUUAACUUGUUGCCGUUCGGGACGUUGACGAAAUGGAGCGAUUCGACCCGUCUUGAAACACGGACCAAGGAGUCUAACAUGUGUGCAAGUGUUAGGGUGUGGAAACCCCAGCGCGAAAUGAAAGUGAAGGGCAGCGUAAGUUGUCUGAGGUAGGAAAUGCUGCGGGCUUCGGUCUGCGGUGUGGCACUAUCGACCGAUCAUGAACCUUCGUGGUGAAAGAUUUGAGUUUGAGCACAUAUGUUGGUACCCGAAAGAUGGUGAACUAUGCCUGAGUAGGGUGAAGCCAGGGGAAACUCUGGUGGAAGCUCGUAGCGAUUCUGACGUGCAAAUCGAUCGUCAAACUUGGGUAUAGGGGCGAAAGACUAAUCGAACCAUCUAGUAGCUGGUUCCCUCCGAAAUUUCCCUCAGGAUAGCAGCAACUUAUUUACGAUAGUUUUAUGAGGUAAAGCGAAUGAUUAGAGGAUUCGGGGAAGAAACUUCCUCGACCUAUUCUCAAACUUUAAAUCUGUAAGACCUGCAGGUUUCUUAAUUGAACUUGUGGAUGUGAAUAUCAAGUUGCUAGUGGGCCAUACGGGGUAAGCUCGUCUGGCGAUGCGGGAUGAACCGAACGCAAAGUUAAAGUGCCAAAAUGCUCGCUCACCUAGAUACCAUAAAAGGUGUUGGUUCAUUUAGACAGCAGGACGGUGGCCAUGGAAGUCGGAAUCCGCUAAGGAGUGUGUAACAACUCACCUGCCGAAUGAACUAGCCCUGAAAAUGGAUGGCGCUAAAGCGGGCUACUUAUACUUUGCCGUUAGCGCGAUAGCAUUAGUAAUGUACGCGUUAAUGAGUAGGAGGGCGUGAAGGUCGUGAAGAAGCUCGUGGCGUGAGCCUGAGUGAAACGGCCUUUAGUGCAGAUCUUGGUGGUAGUAGCAAAUAUUCAA